AGCCUUAGGUAAACAUCUAAGGUUUGACCUGCCCAAUGUACAGAAUUAAAAAUCAAUAAUGAAUGGCCGCGGUACUUUGACCGUGCUAAGGUAGCGUAAUCAGUUGGCUCUUAAUUGGGGUCAGGAAUGAAUGGAGUCACGGGGCUUUACUGUCUUUUUACUAAUAAUUUGAAGUUACUAUGUAAGUGAAAAAGCUUAUGUGUAGAAAAAGGACGAGAAGACCCUUAGAGUUUUACUAAAUUAUGAAUUAUUAUUUAUAUCAGUUUGGUUGGGGCAACCUGGGAUGGCAGAAUAAUAUGUAAUCUCUCUAAUAUUAUAAACCGAUUAUCUUAAAAUUGAAUAAACUACCUUAGGGAUAACAGCAUAAUUUUAUAUUGAAGUUUGUGACCUCGAUGUUGGACUAGGGAACUUAAAGGCUAGCCGUCUUUUAGGAAAGUUCUGUUCGAACUAUUAUCCCU
rnacentral:rRNA from 1 species